CCGAUCAGCUUCAGACGAAAAGGCACUUACAGAAGCUCAGACUCGGCUCGCUUCCGCGCUCUGGUACGGUCCUUACCGAAGGCGCUGCUGUCCCGAGCAGGUCGCCGACGUUGAGGGCCUGCGACGCCGUCGCCACCAGGAGGAGGAGGAGGAGGAGGAGGAGGGGGAGAAGCAGCGACGACCACCGGGAGACGGCGAGAACGGACGCCAUCAUCAUCUGCCUGCCCUCUGGUGUUCGUCGUCUAGCACUGCGCGUGUGACUGUGGUGUGCGGGGAAGAAGUGGAGCUGGAGUGGAUAGGCUGGCUGGGCAGAGCGCGAAAU
rnacentral:misc_RNA from 1 species